AGCCAAACACUUUGGCUCAUGUAAGUAAAUUGACAGAAUGUGGCAGAGGCAAUGUGUUUACUCGCGAGCUGCGAAUCCUUAUCCAUUCCUCGGGCAAUGCUCUGUUACCUUGUGAAGGACUACACUUCGAGGACUUAGACAACAGCAAAGUACAUGGCUGACAGUGUACAUCUCUGAGUCUCCUUCGGUGAGAUUACAGGAGCUGGAGGGGAAGACAUUACAGUGGGAGGAAUAUGGUUCGAAUUGUGAAAAAUAGCCAAAAGGCCGAAUCCAGAGAGCAUCAAGGAAGUAGCUCCUGUUGUGGUGUCUGGCUGGACUGUCGAGUUCGAGAACACAAAGUCAGUAUAUGUGGAUUAUUAUCAGAGAAUCCCUCCAGUGUGAAAGCAGGCCAU